GACAGAGGGGGCAAGCGUUGCUCGGAAUUACUGGGCGUAAAGGGCGCGUAGGCGGGAUGGCAAGUCGGUCGUGAAAUCCUUCGGCUCAACCGAAGAACGUCGAUCGAUACUGCUGUUCUUGAGGGUUGCAGAGGAGACUGGAAUUCCCGGUGUAGCGGUGAAAUGUGUAGAGAUCGGGAGGAACUCCGGUGGCGAAGGCGGGUCUCUGGGCAAUUCCUGACGCUGAGGCGCGAAAGCGUGGGGAGCAAACGGG
rnacentral:rRNA from 1 species